GACGAGCCACCCAAACGUUAUUCGGAAUUACUGGGCUUAAAGGGUGCGUAGGCGGUGCAGCAAGUCGGGAGUGAAAUACCUCAGCUUAACUGAGGAACUGCUUUCGAUACUGCUGUGCUUGAGUAAGACAGAGGUAAGCGGAACUAGGGUGGAGCGGUGAAAUGCGUUGAUAUCCUAAGGAACACCGGUGGCGAAGGCGGCUUACUG
rnacentral:rRNA from 1 species